rnacentral:rRNA from 1 species
UACGUAGGUGGCGAGCGUUGUCCGGAUUUACUGGGCGUAAAGCGCGCGCAGGUGGUUUCUUAAGUCUGAUGUGAAAGCCCACGGCUCAACCGUGGAGGGUCAUUGGAAACUGGGAGACUUGAGUGCAGAAGAGGAAAGUGGAAUUCCAUGUGUAGCGGUGAAAUGCGUAGAGAUAUGGAGGAACACCAGUGGCGAAGGCGACUUUCUGGUCUGUAACUGACACUGAGGCGCGAAAAGCGUGGGGGAGCAAACAGG